GCCUCCGUGGUGUAGUGGUCAGCACGCUCGACGCGUAACCGAGAGGUCCGUGGUUCGAUUCCCGGCGAAAGAG
rnacentral:tRNA from 1 species